rnacentral:rRNA from 1 species
AACGAACGCUGGCGGCAGGCUUAACACAUGCAAGUCGAGCGCCCCGCAAGGGGAGCGGCAGACGGGUGAGUAACACGUGGGAACCUACCCUUUUCUGCGGGAUAGCUCUGGGAAACUGGAAUUAAUACCGCAUACGCCCUACGGGGGAAAGAUUUAUCGGAGAAGGAUGGGCCCGCGUUGGAUUAGCUAGUUGGUGGGGUAAUGGCCUACCAAGGCGACGAUCCAUAGCUGGUCUGAGAGGAUGAUCAGCCACAUUGGGACGGAGACACGGCCCAAACUCCUACGGGAGGCAGCAGUGGUGAAUAUUGGACAAUGGGGGCAACCCUGAUCCAGCCAUGCCGCGUGAGUGAUGAAGGCCUUAGGGUUGUAAAGCUCUUUCACCGGUGAAGAUAAUGACGGUAACCGGAGAAGAAGCCCCGGCUAACUUCGUGCCAGCCGCCGCCGUAACAC